rfam:Ictidomys tridecemlineatus contig058347, whole genome shotgun sequence.
GGGGUUGUGGCUCAGCGGUAGAGUACUUGCCUAGAAUGUGUGAGGCACUGGGUUCAAUCCUCAGCACCACUG